rnacentral:rRNA from 1 species
AUUGAACGCUGGCGGCAGGCCUAACACAUGCAAGUCGAACGAGUGGCGGACUGGUGAGUAAUGUCUGGGAAACUGCCUGAUGGAGGGGGAUAACUACUGUAAACGGUAGCUAAUACCGCAUACCAUCAGAUGUGCCCAGAUGGGAUUAGCUAGUUGGUGGGGUAACGGCUCACCAAGGCGACGAUCCCUAGCUGGUCUGAGAGGAUGACCAGCCACAAUGGAAAUGAGACACGGUCCAGACUCCGACGGGAGGCAGCAGUGGGGAAUAUGGGACAAUGGGCGAAAGCCUGAGGCAGCCAGGCCGCGUGUAUGAAGAAGGCCUUCGGGUUGUAAAGUACUUUCAGCGGGGAGGCGUUACCCGAAGAAGAAGCACCGGCUAACUCCGUGCCAGCAGCCGCGGUAAUAC